UGCCAGCAGCCGCGGUAAUACGUAUGUUGCGAACGUUGUUCGGAAUCACUGGGCAUAAAGAGCACGUAGGCGGUUUGGUUAGUCUGAUGUGAAAUCCCCCGGCUCAACCGGGGAACUGCAUCGGAUACUGCCUGACUAGAGUGCAGGAGGGGAGAGUGGAAUUCCUGGUGGAGCGGUGAAAUGCGUAGAUAUCAGGAGGAACGCCGGUGGCGAAAGCGACUCUCUGGUCUGCUACUGACGCUGAGGUGCGAAAGCCAGGGGAGCAAACGGGAUUAGAUA
rnacentral:rRNA from 1 species